CUGGGUCAUAUGAUGAUUAGAAGCAUAGUUCAAAUGAAAUCUUUUGUGAUUUUAAAACUUCUUUUUAGUCUUUCGCUCCUAUCUGAUGACUCUU
rfam:Nicotiana attenuata strain TT chromosome 6, whole genome shotgun sequence.